UACGGGGGGAGCAAGCGUUGUUCGGAUUUACUGGGCGUAAAGGGCGCGUAGGCGGCGCAACAAGUCACUUGUGAAAUCUCCGGGCUUAACCCGGAGCGGCCAAGUGAUACUGUCGUGCUAGAGUGCGGAAGGGGCUACUGGAAUUCUCGGUGUAGCGGUGAAAUGCGCAGAUAUCAGGAGGAACACCGAUGGCGAAGGCAGGUCACUGGGCCGCAACUGACGCUGAGGAGCGAAAGCAUGGGGAGCGAACAGG
rnacentral:rRNA from 1 species